rnacentral:rRNA from 1 species
AGUGAACGCUGGCGGUAGGCCUAACACAUGCAAGUCGAACGGCAGCACAGUAAGAGCUUGCUCUUACGGGUGGCGAGUGGCGGACGGGUGAGGAAUACAUCGGAAUCUACUUUGUCGUGGGUGAUAACGUAGGGAAACUUACGCUAAUACCGCAUACGUCCUACGGGUGAAAGCAGGGGAUCUUCGGACCUUGCGCGAUUGAAUGAGCCGAUGUCGGAUUAGCUAGUUGGCGGGGUAAAGGCCCACCAAGGCGACGAUCCGUAGCUGGUCUGAGAGGAUGAUCAGCCAAACUGGAACUGAGACACGGUCCAGACUCCUACGGGAGGCAGCAGUGGGGAAUAUUGGACAAUGGGCGCAAGCCUGAUCCAGCCAUACCGCGUGGGUGAAGAAGGCCUUCGGGUUGUAAAGCCCUUUUGUUGGGAAAGAAAAGCAGCAGGUUAAUACCCCGCUGUUCUGACGGUACCCAAAGAAUAAGCACCGGCUAACUUCGUG